rnacentral:rRNA from 1 species
GCGCCUNNCAUGCAGUCGAGCGGUAACAGAAAGUAGCUUGCUACUUUGCUGACGAGCGGCGGACGGGUGAGUAAUGCUUGGGAACAUGCCUUGAGGUGGGGGACAACAGUUGGAAACGACUGCUAAUACCGCAUAAUGUCUACGGACCAAAGGGGGCUUCGGCUCUCGCCUUUAGAUUGGCCCAAGUGGGAUUAGCUAGUUGGUGAGGUAAUGGCUCACCAAGGCGACGAUCCCUAGCUGGUUUGAGAGGAUGAUCAGCCACACUGGGACUGAGACACGGCCCAGACUCCUACGGGAGGCAGCANUGGGGAAUAUUGCACAAUGGGCGCAAGCCUGAUGCAGCCAUGCCGCGUGUGUGAAGAANGCCUUCCGGUUGUAAAGCACUUUCAGUCNCGAGGAAAGGUUAACGGUUAAUACCCGUUAGCUGUGACGUUACNGANACAAAAAGCACC